rnacentral:rRNA from 1 species
AGUUUGAUUCUGGCUCAGGAUGAACGCUAGCGACAGGCUUAACACAUGCAAGUCGAGGGGCAGCAUAAAAGUAGCAAUACUUUGGUGGCGACCGGCGCACGGGUGAGUAACGCGUAUGCAACCUACCUAUCAGAGGGGAAUAGCCCGGCGAAAGUCGGACUAAUACCGCAUAAAACAGGGGCACCGCAUGGUGAUAUUUGUUAAAGAAAUUCGCUGAUAGAUGGGCAUGCGUUCCAUUAGGUAGUUGGUGAGGUAACGGCUCACCAAGCCGACGAUGGAUAGGGGAACUGAGAGGUUGGUCCCCCACACUGGUACUGAGACACGGACCAGACUCCUACGGGAGGCAGCAGUGAGGAAUAUUGGUCAAUGGGCGAGAGCCUGAACCAGCCAAGUCGCGUGGAAAAGGAAGAAGGAUCUAUGGUUCGUAAACUUCUUUUGCAGGGGAAUAAAGUGCAGGACGUGUCCUGUUUUGUAUGUACCCUGAGAAUAAGGAUCGGCUAACUCCGUGCCAGCCGCAGC